ACACGGACGCUUGUCACGGUGGAACGUCGCGGUCGAGGACUCGUUAGAAAUGACCAUGUUCUACGGUGAUUCGCGACACCAAGGCGUGUAUUCGUUGUCCUAUUCUGAUCGGCUAAUCUGUGGUUGCGUGAAGUCGGACAAUACUCCACCAUAAUUUUGCGCAAGGUGUCGUUAACUUCACUGCUUCGAGUCACCAUUGUGUCGGAGCUUUCCCGCCAAGCUGACCAGCGAAAACGUUUUGUGGAUUUUGCUAUCAGGUAGCAAACAGAAGUGCCCAGACGAACUGUGCAGUGCUGAACACACGGUGAGCCAAGCAUCCCGUGAGAGGGGCUUAUUCAGCAUAUGUGGCUAACUCAAAGGAAGGACCUCCAAAAAGCAGUGCUACAAGGAUGUGAGCCACAAGCUCUUUUCAACGAACGGAUCAGAUUCUUAAAAGUUAUGGGCCGACUGCAUCUGGCCUACACAGAGAGUGCAGCCACCACAGUAAAGUUCUUGCAAAGGUGUGAGACAUUCCUAUGUUGCGUAGAGUGAGCUUGUUAAUUGUCAGGUUUAUAGCUUAUAGGUGUAGCACUCUUAUAAGUAAACACGCUGCAAAGUGUGUUUUACAUUCUCUCAAAGUGCCUUUAGGCAGCUUUGGCUCUGUCAUUCUUUUUUAUCACCUUCCACACCAUCUUGCUAAUUCAUACAUAAUGCUGCAGCAAUCGCAUUGUGUGAGUAUCACAAAAGUUUCAUUUCGAAAAACAAUGAUGGUGACCCCUUCAUUGCCUGACCAGUGUAUACUCUUCGCCAGCGAAGUGAUGUGAUUUUGCGCUAGCUGUCGAUUGGUUCUCUCUGCAUUAUGAAAUGGUGUUUUGGCCCUAAAAUUACGCCAUAUAGAUUGUGUCAUUGUGAGGCGUGCUGCAUAUUUGUUUAUCCCACCUAUGCCUUGCACAGUACUUCCUUACUAUGCCGGUUUAGCACAGCGGCACAUCAACGAGUUCUUGCUUAGUUGAUGGCUGCCUGUUGAUUGCACAAUCACUGACGUCAUGCUUUGUUGCCAUGUGACUGUAGUAAUGAUGGUAACGUAUGCGUACCCCUCUUCACGAUGAGAACGAUAGAGAAGCCGAGUGAGAAACUGAAAACAGCUACAAUAUGUGUUUUAUUGGCUAUGGCUUCAUCAUUUAAUCAUAUGAACACAAAAUUUUGGCAACGUGCUCACAUUUUACAGUUUUGCAGUCAUCAGAAAUUUCAGACGGUGGGUUUGUUUAGUAGCUUUUUACAUUUCAAUUAUUAAUAGUGAAUUUAUGCACUGCAUGGCUUUGUUUAUUUAUAUUUUGCAAUGCUCAUCUGUGAAAUAUUCUGCAGCUUUUGUCAAUAUUUAUGUGUUCAUUAUAUGAAACAUUCUGUAUGAUCUCUAUGUACCAUCAAUAGCAAAAGUUUGCGGGACACGAAAUGCUCGAUGAAGAUAAAUUAUGACUUUGUCUGAGAAUGUAAUUUGAAAAGGAAUAUUUCAUACUGCACUUCACAUUCCAACCUGUGCAGCCACAAGUCUAAUUACAAGCGUUAAGUACCGACGUAGUGGAAAUUGGCAUUAGUUGUGGAUUCAACAUAUACCAAGCAUUUUCUGUCGAUAGUACUUUCAUGGAUUUUUCCUGGCACUAGAGCCACCUACUUUCUCCCCUUUUGCAGCUACAUAGCUGGCAGUUCGUUUUUUGCUGCUUUGUUUACCUAAUACCUAUUCAACCAGUGCAUCUAAAACGGUGUUAUGGGUGUACUUGCAUCAUUAAAUGUUUACUAUUUUAUUAGUCCAGGA